GACGAACGCUGGCGGCGUGCCUAAUACAUGCAAGUCGAGCGAAGUUUUUCUGGUGCUUGCACCGGAAAAACUUAGCGGCGAACGGGUCAGUAACACGUAAAGAACCUGCCUCAUAGACUGGGACAACUAUUGGAAACGAUAGCUAAUACCGGAUAAUAGCAUUAACUGCAUGGUUGAUGUUUAAAAGUUGGUUUUGCUAACACUAUGAGAUGGCUUUGCGGUGCAUUAGCUAGUUGGUGGGGUAAAGGCCUACCAAGGCGACGAUGCAUAGCCGACCUGAGAGGGUGAUCGGCCACACUGGGACUGAGACACGGCCCAGACUCCUACGGGAGGCAGCAGUAGGGAAUCUUCCGCAAUGGGCGAAAGCCUGACGGAGCAACGCCGCGUGAGUGAAGAAGGAUUUCGGUUCGUAAAGCUCUGUUGUUAGGGAAGAAUGAUUGUGUAGUAACUAUACACAGUAGAGACGGUACCUAACCAGAAAGCCACGGCUAACUACGUG
rnacentral:rRNA from 1 species